UUUGGAGUUCAACUUGAUGAAGCUCUCAAGAGCAUGUUUUGUCCUUACAAAAGAGAGUGGAUUAUGAAUUGCUCGUCUAUGGGUGGUAAUCAUUCUAUCUAUCAAACAAUUGGGUCCCAGGGAUUUUCCAUGUUAGGAGGUGAAGAUAAAAUAAUCUGGAAAUUCAAUCCUUGAGGAGAAUGUUCAGUAAGCUCAUGCUAUAAACUUAAUACUAUUCUUCAGGCAAGCAAGCUGAUCCGGCACAAACAUUAUGCGAAGUUAAAAUUGUGGACUCUUCAUGGUUGCAUAGGUUUGAGAGGGAGGAAAAUCUGGAGGGGCAAGUGGGCUAGUCCUCGGGUUUCUCAUAGGAAAGCUUGGAGCAUGGUUCAUCUUGCGUUGUUAAAGGGAACAGUAGGCUUUGGUAUCUGGUUCCUGAUGGUGGAUGUAGGUGGAAGAUACUUGGCGCAGUUUUGCAACUCUCUUCAAUGGAUUAGGGAGACACCAGCUACAGCUUCCAAGUUUAAUGUUCAGCAAGGAAGAAACAUCCAUUACGUAUCCGAGCCAAAUAAAAUGAUUUAUAAUUAUACUUGAAAAAACUCAUAUUUAUUUAUAUAACUUUGACACAGGUCUGGCGGGCAUAUCAACAUUUAGAAUUUAUCCACAACUUUUCUAUUCCC
rnacentral:lncRNA from 1 species